GACGAACGCUGGCGGCGCGCUUAACACAUGCAAGUCGAGCGAGAACCAGGGCUUCGGCUCUGGGGACAGCGGCGAACGGGUGAGUAACACGUGGAUAACCUGCCCUCGGCACCGGGAUAGCCCGGGGAAACCCGGAUUAAUACCGGAUGGCCCUUCCGGCUCUCGAGCUGGUCGGAAAAGGUAGCUUCGGCCUCCGGCCGAGGAUGGGUCCGCGGCGGAUUAGCUUGGUGGUGGGGUAACGGCCUACCAAGGCCCCGAUCCGUAGCUGGUCUGAGAGGACGAUCAGCCACACUGGGACUGAGACACGGCCCAGACUCCUACGGGAGGCAGCAGUGGGGAAUCUUGCGCAAUGGGCGAAAGCCUGACGCAGCGACGCCGCGUGAGGGAGGAAGGCCUUCGGGUUGUAAACCUCUUUCAGGAGGGACGAAGCUACUCGGGUGAAUAGCCCAGAGGGUGACGGUACCUCCAGAAGAAGCCCCGGCUAACUACGUGCCAGCAGCCGCAGUAACAC
rnacentral:rRNA from 1 species